rnacentral:lncRNA from 1 species
GUAGGGAGCUCUUUGCAUAUGCAUUUUGACCAAAUCGGUACAAAUUCUAUUUCUAAUAACUUUUAAAUAGCUAAGUCCACAUGUAGUCGCUAUAUCUAGUUGUUUACAAUCAGGGUUUUACAUCCUGUCGAGACAUAUUUUUUGCAUCUAACAAGGUCAUGCUAUUCCAAGACUGUUUAUGACGUCGAACAGAUUGAUUAUUAAAAGUCUGGAAAAAUAUAAUUUACUUAUAGUCGGAAUUAUUUUUUUAAAACAAACUCCACUGGGUAACUACGAUUUCCUCUACCUCAUAUAAAUAAGAAGAUGUGGUAUGACUGCCAAUGAGACAACUCUCCACAAGAGACCAAAAUGACUCAGACAUUAACAACUGUAGGUCACCGUUCGGCCUUCAACAAUGAGCAAACAUCAACCAACCAACUUAUACCUUGUUACGCAAUCAACAUUAUGAUUAUUUGAAUAUCUAUGUAAAUAAAAUUGUUUAAUGCUUUGUCUACAGGGUUAACAACAUACUAGUGUAAUGAAGAGAGGAUGAAGAAUUUCCAACUUCAACCUUCUUUUGUUCAAAAUCCUUAACCGGCAAGCUUUGGAAUAUUAAAAUAAAAUGCUCCGCAUGGCGCAGUUUGUUACAACAGCACAAGUCAAACAUAUUCAAGCUUGAUACAGCCUAGGUUUCUGACACAGAACGAACAUAUAUGGUCUAAGGACUAAGAAAUUUGACAUUGAACUUUCUGCAUUUUGGGUAGUUCUUAGGCAAUUCUUUAAAAUUGGUACAAAAAGUGUUUGCUUUAACAUAAAAGACCCUUUAAAACAUAAGAGCUCAUGGUUGAUUUAACAAGCUUACAUAUAUAUCCGUCUUGGUUCCAAUGAUCAUCCGAUAUUUAUAGUAAACUUCAUAUUGCCCAUGUUGCAGUAUUAACCCAAAAUUGACACCAAGAGUUAAUGUCCCUGAACUUUGACUCAUCAGGACCAUUUCCAAGGUCAUUUUAAUAAUUUAUAUAAUGCCGAUUUUGCUGUUGGUUUUCCUGUUUCAAUGGUCAUUAGUCAUUUUGGACCCUUGAUAGCUUGCAGGUCCUUAUGAGCCCAAGGGAAUCUAGUUGGUUUCAAUCCUAGAACAAGUUUGUUAGUCUUGUAUUAUUUUAAUUUUAGUUUCUUGUGUACAAUUUGGAAAUUAGUAUGGCGUUCAUUAUCACUGAACUAGUAUAUAUUUUUAGGGCCAGUUGAAAGGACGCCUCCGGGGCGGGAAUUUCUCGCUACAUUGAAGACCUGUUGGUGACCUUCUGCUGUUGUUUUUUUCUAUGGUCGGGUUGUUGUCUCUUUGGCACAUUCCCCAUUUCCAUUCUUAAUUUCAUCUUCCAACUUUUCUGCACUAAUUUCUGACAGCUAGUAUCGCAGAAUCAUUUCCAGUACCUUUAUUUGAUUUAUUGUUGAUUGCUGGUGUAUGAUGCCCGUUUCAAACUCUUGGAUAUAGAAUCAUAUUCAAAACAGUGUAGCUGUGGCCAUUGAUUGACGACCUUAAUUUAUCCCAUUGACUGGGGCAGAUUAGGUGAACGUUUGUCUGUAAAGACCGCUGCUCACUAUGUACUUGUUAAAGACACUUAAACUGUGGGGUCACAAAAGGUUCUCA